rnacentral:tRNA from 1 species
UGGAGGAUUAGCUCAGCUGGGAGAGCAUCUGCCUUACAAGCAGAGGGUCGGCGGUUCGAGCCCGUCAUCCUCCACC